GAUGAACGCUGGCGGCGUGCCUAACACAUGCAAGUCGAGCGAAGCACUUUACUUUGAGAUCUUCGGAAGGAAAAGUUUUGUGACUGAGCGGCGGACGGGUGAGUAACGCGUGGGUAACCUGCCCCAUACAGGGGGAUAACAGUUAGAAAUGACUGCUAAUACCGCAUAAGACCACAGCACCGCAUGGUGCGGGGGUAAAAACUCCGGUGGUAUGGGAUGGACCCGCGUCUGAUUAGCUAGUUGGUGAGGUAACGGCCCACCAAGGCAACGAUCAGUAGCCGACCUGAGAGGGUGACCGGCCACAUUGGGACUGAGACACGGCCCAAACUCCUACGGGAGGCAGCAGUGGGGAAUAUUGCACAAUGGGGGAAACCCUGAUGCAGCGACGCCGCGUGAGCGAAGAAGUAUUUCGGUAUGCAAAGCUCUAUCAGCAGGGAAGAAACUGACGGUACCUGACUAAGAAGCACCGGCUAAAUACGUGCCAGCAGCCGCGGUAAUACGUAUGGUGCAAGCGUUAUCCGGAUUUACUGGGUGUAAAGGGAGCGUAGACGGAUGGGCAAGUCUGAAGUGAAAGCCCGGGGCUCAACCCCGGGACUGCUUUGGAAACUGUUCAUCUGGAGUGCUGGAGAGGUAAGUGGAAUUCCUAGUGUAGCGGUGAAAUGCGUAGAUAUUAGGAGGAACACCAGUGGCGAAGGCGGCUUACUGGACAGUAACUGACGUUGA
rnacentral:rRNA from 1 species